GGCCUACGGGACGCAGCAGUGGGGAAUAUUGCACAAUGGGGGGAACCCUGACCCAGCAACGCCGCGUGAAGGAAGAAGGCUUUCGGGUUGUAAACUUCUUUUCUCAGGGACGAAGCAAGUGACGGUACCUGAGGAAUAAGCCACGGCUAACUACGUGCCAGCAGCCGCGGUAAUACGUAGGUGGCAAGCGUUAUCCGGAUUUACUGGGUGUAAAGGGCGUGUAGGCGGGAAAGCAAGUCAGAUGUGAAAACCAUGGGCUCAACCUGUGGCCUGCAUUUGAAACUGUUUUUCUUGAGUACUGGAGG
rnacentral:rRNA from 1 species